AGCUUUUUGAAAUUAUAAAAAGUGACGUCUGCCCGGUGCAAAAUAGUAAACGGCCGCGCAAGUGCUAAGGUAGCGUAAUAAUUUGUCCCUUCAUUGGGGACCAGUAUGAAUGGCAUAACGAGGCUCAACUGUCUUCUUUAUAUAAGAAUGAAAUUGAUAUUUAAGUGAAAAAUCUUAAUAUUUAUUGAUGGACGAGAAGACCCUAUAGAGUUUUAGUACAAUACUUGACAAAAGUCAAGAUAUAUACUUUUAUUGGGGCAAUAAGAGAACAAUAAAAAUCUCAUAAAAUAAUUAAACCUCAAAGAGAAAAUAAAAUAAACUACCUUAGGGAUAACAGCGUAAUCCUAUCUAAGAGACCUAAUCGAAGAUAAGGUUUGCGACCUCGAUGUUGGACUAAGGAAACUUUUGUAUGCAGAAGUACAAAGAAGCAACCUGUUCGGCUUUUAAAUCCUUACAUG
rnacentral:rRNA from 1 species